AUUGAACGCUGGCGGCAGGCCUAACACAUGCAAGUCGAGCGGAGCGGCGGACGGGUGAGUAAUACGUGGGUAACCUGCCCUCCUUUUUGGGAUAAGCCUUGGAAACGGGGUCUAAUACCGAAUUAAGGGGGAUGGGCUCGCGGCCUGUCAGCUUGUUGGUGGGGUGAUGGCGUACCAAGGCGGUGACGGUGAGCCGGCGUGAGAGGGUGACCGGCCACAGAGAGACGGAGAAACGGCCCAGGCGCCGACGGGGGGCGGCAGUUGGGGAUAUUGCACAAUGGGCGAAAGACUGAUGCAGCGACGGCGCGUGGGGGAUGAAGGCUUUAGGGUUGUAAACCUCGUGCGCUAUCGAGCGGGUAGGUGGAGAAGAAGCGACGGCUAACUACGUGCCAGCAGCCGCGGUAAUUC
rnacentral:rRNA from 1 species